rnacentral:lncRNA from 1 species
ACUAACUGAAUUUUUAAUUCAGUGAUGGAAGGCUUCUGGGCAUAGUCAAGUACUUGCAAAGUUAGAGUGUGAUCGAGAUGGGAUUGACCACUCCAAGAGUUGGAGAAGAAUGAGUCACUGUAUUUCAGUUUAGCAAAAUCUUGGCCAGGGUAAUCCAUCAGAUGGAUUUGAUAUUUUGAAAUACAAUGUGGACAACCUGAUCAGAGUUGACAAUUGAACUCUGAGGUAUCCUAUGAUCAUUUUGGUCAAGGGGAUGAAUUAUAUGGAAACUAUAUCUGCAUGGGUUCUAAAGAUGUUGUUCUACACAUUCGACCUAUCCGAUCGUCGGGUACCAUUACUAGAUGGUC